GACGAACCGUGCGAACGUUGCUCGGAAUCAUUGGGCGUAAAGCGCACGUAGGCGGUUCGUUAUGUCGGAUGUGAAAGCCCUUGGCUUAACCGAGGAAGUGCAUCCGAAACUGGCGAGCUAGAGUACGAAAGAGGAUCGCGGAAUUCCCGGUGUAGAGGUGAAAUUCGUAGAUAUCGGGAGGAACACCGGUGGCGAAGGCGGCGAUCUGGGUCGAUACUGACGCUGAGGUGCGAAAGCGUGGGGAGCAAACAGG
rnacentral:rRNA from 1 species